CAGUAGCCUCGGGAAUACGUAGGGUGCAAGCGUUAAUCGGAAUUACUGGGCGUAAAGCGUGCGCAGGCGGUUAUAUAAGACAGAUGUGAAAUCCCCGGGCUCAACCUGGGAACUGCAUUUGUGACUGUAUAGCUAGAGUACGGCAGAGGGGGAUGGAAUUCCGCGUGUAGCAGUGAAAUGCGUAGAUAUGCGGAGGAACACCGAUGGCGAAGGCAAUCCCCUGGGCCUGUACUGACGCUCAUGCACGAAAGCGUGGGGAGCAAACAGGAUUAGAUACCCCAGUAGUCCCUGUCUCUUAUAC
rnacentral:rRNA from 1 species